GAAAUGCGAUAAGUAAUGUGAAUUGCAGAAUUCAGUGAAUCAUCGAAUCUUUGAACGCACCUUGCGCUCCUUGGUAUUCCUUGGAGCAUGCCUGUUUGAGUAUCAUGAAAUCUUCAAAGUAAAUCUUUUGUUAACUCAAUUGGUUUCUACUUUGGUAUUGGAGGUCUUUGCAGCUUCACACCUGCUCCUCUUUGUUCAUUAGCUGGAUCUCAGUGUUAUGCUUGGUUCCACUCGGCGUGAUAAGUUAUCUAUCGCUGAGGACACUGUAAAAGGUGGCCAAGGUAAAUGCAGAUGAACCGCUUCUAAUAGUCCAUUCACUUGGACAAUACUUUUAUGAUCUGAUCUCAAAUCAGGUAGGACUACCCGCUGAACUUAAGC
rnacentral:misc_RNA from 1 species